CAGAGGUGUGUGAGGCAAGGAGGCACUGUUGCCAACCCUCGUGGAAAAGAUCUGUUUGUGUUAGCUAUUCAGGCAUGAAUAUUGGAAUUUGAAAACAAAGAACAUGAUCUAGUAAGCUCAUGGGACUUAUCCUUCCAGAGGAAAAUGUUCCCCGUGUCUACACACUGUCCCGCAGCAGAUGCGCUCACCCUUCUACAACCAGAGGUGUGUUCACGCCAGAUGUGUUCUGUUUAGGGCUGGGGUCAGCAAGUAUAUUUGCGUCUUAGAUAAAAUAACUUAGUGCCAACGUGUGUCUGAGUCACGGAGCCAUGAAUUUGGAUUCCAUACCACCCAGGCAGGCUGAAACUCUGGGUAGAUGUGGAAAGGGUUUAAAGAUAUUUCAGAAUGUCACAAAGAACUGUGAGCUCUGAGAAAACUCUAUCAUGAGUUUAGUGCAAAGUACUUGAGCACAGGAAAUCCCAUCAGAGGAGAGCUCAGUUUGGUCCAGUGAAAUUCCAUGAACAGAAUCCUGAGACGCCUCUGGGCUUCGGUUCAGGUAACUUCAAUACAGAGAAGAGGUUGCAAAAGAAGGUUCUUCUCACCAAGUCAAUCCUAAGCCAAAAGAACAAAGCUGGAGGCAUC
rnacentral:lncRNA from 10 species